AACGAACGCUGGCGGCAUGCUUUACACAUGCAAGUCGAACGGUAACAGGUUAAGCUGACGAGUGGCGAACGGGUGAGUAAUGCAUCGGAACGUGCCCGGUCGUGGGGGAUAACGCAGCGAAAGCUGCGCUAAUACCGCAUACGAUCUGAGGAUGAAAGCGGGGGACCGUAAGGCCUCGCGCGAUCGGAGCGGCCGAUGUCAGAUUAGGUAGUUGGUGGGGUAAAGGCUCACCAAGCCAACGAUCUGUAGCUGGUCUGAGAGGACGACCAGCCACACUGGGACUGAGACACGGCCCAGACUCCUACGGGAGGCAGCAGUGGGGAAUUUUGGACAAUGGGCGAAAGCCUGAUCCAGCAAUGCCACGUGCAGGAAGAAGGCCUUCGGGUUGUAAACUGCUUUUGUACGGAGCGAAAAGGUCUCCUCUAAUACAGGGGGCUCAUGACGGUACCGUAAGAAUAAGCACCGGCUAACUACGUGCCAGCCGCCGCCGUAA
rnacentral:rRNA from 1 species